rnacentral:lncRNA from 13 species
CUUGUCUUAGGCACUUAAAAGUGAACCAAACAGACAAAAAGCCCUGCCCUCGUGGCACUUACAUUCUAACACGUCUAAUAAAGUUCUAAAAUGAAGUUAGGGUGAUGUGUUUGUAGCCGCUGUUCCCUUUUCACCUUCCCAUGUAUGACUGCACUUGUUUCUCUUAAUAGCCUUUGAAGUAGACAAGGCAUUUGACAGAGGAGAGAACUCAGGCUUCUUUCUAAUCAUCCUCCUCCCAGGAUGCCUGCUUCUUAAAAAGAGUUUGGAGAAGUACAGUGAAACCCAAAAGGAAUGGAGUACCAGCCAAGUGUGAUGGAGCAUGCCUGUAGUCCCAGCUACUCAGGAGGCUGAGGGAGGAGGAUCACUUGAGCUAAGCGACACGCACGAAAGAGACGAAGGGGACACGGCCAUCCGAGCGCCGAGGCGCUGAAGCACGAACUGCCCGAAGCGACCUGGCUUGGCUCAGAGACUCUUCUACCAAGUCGGAGAGGCGGCAGCAAUGCCUGUGCGGGAAAGG